UUUUUGGCAAAGUUUCAGGGGCUGUUUGGCAACAUUUGAAUGGUUAAGUGCUGAACAAGUAAGAGGUCUGAACCAUUAAGUGCUGAACCAGUAAGAGGUCUGAAUCAUUAAGAGCAUGUAUGAUGCUUAACAGUUCAGAGGCAAAUGUCUGACCAAUUCAGAUUAGAGGCUGCACAACCAGAAUCUUACAUGUUUAUCAAAACACAAUUUAAAGUGCAUAUUUGUACACUAAAUUUCUGACGUGUUCAUAGAAAAUAGGGUAAACUACACUUUUCGUCCUUUAUGUUUGUAGUGGGUUGCAAUGGAUGACCUUUAACUUUAAUAAUUACAGUCACAGUCCUUUAUUUGGAAAACUUGUUACACCUUAGGUCCUUUGACCCUAACCUGGUUAAAACUUUCAGUUAAGUGAGGUGAUGUGCAACCCAUAUGAGGGUAAAACGGUCAUUUAAUACAAAAAAAAAGAAUGUCAAAAUUUAAAAACUUAUAUAAAUUUUUUAUUACACGACUGUUUUGCCCUCACAUGGGUUGCACAUGACCUCACUUAACUAAAAGUUUUAACCAGGUUAGGGUCAAAGGACCUAAGGUGGAACAUGUUUUGCAAAUAAAGGACUGUGACUGUAAUUAUUAAAGUUAAAGGUCAUCCAUUGUAACCCGCUACAAACAUAAAGGACGAAAAGUGUAAUUUACCCUAGAAAAUAUCACUAAAUUUCAGAUUAAUAGUUACUAUAACUAACUUUUUAUAACUUUUUUACUAGUUUAUGUAUCGCGGAUCGUAAAUACUAUAUUAGCAUAUGCCUUUAGUCGACGAGUAGAAUAAAUGAGUAUUAUCAACCAUUAGCAUUUUAGUUGUCUUCAUAUAAUUAUAUUACUCCAAAAGCGUUGUCAAUAAUCUGUUAUACUUGAUCAUAGCAUACCACAGGGACCAUCUGUGUACUUUUGGUAAAAGUUGAGGACUAAAUGUGUUACAAAGUGCAAACCACAGGGACCAUGCGUGUACUUUUGGUAAAAGUUGAGGACUAAAUGUGUUACAAAGUGCA
rnacentral:lncRNA from 1 species